UACGGAGGGUGCGAGCGUUGUCCGGAAUCACUGGGCGUAAAGGGCGCGUAGGUGGCCUGUGGAAGUCUGCGGUGAAAGCCCGGCGCUCAACGCCGGGUCGGCCGUGGAUACUCUCGGGCUUGAGCUCACUAGAGGCAGAUGGAAUUCCGGGUGUAGCGGUGGAAUGCGUAGAGAUCCGGAAGAACACCAAUGGCGAAGGCAGCUUGCUGGGCCACACCUGACGUUAAGGUACGAAAGCGUGGGGAGCGAACAGG
rnacentral:rRNA from 1 species